GUGAACGCUGGCGGUAGGCCUAACACAUGCAAGUCGAACGGCAGCACAGUAAGAGCUUGCUCUUACGGGUGGCGAGUGGCGGACGGGUGAGGAAUACAUCGGAAUCUACUUUUUCGUGGGGGAUAACGUAGGGAAACUUACGCUAAUACCGCAUACGACCUACGGGUGAAAGCAGGGGAUCUUCGGACCUUGCGCGAUUGAAUGAGCCGAUGUCGGAUUAGCUAGUUGGCGGGGUAAAGGCCCACCAAGGCGACGAUCCGUAGCUGGUCUGAGAGGAUGAUCAGCCACACUGGAACUGAGACACGGUCCAGACUCCUACGGGAGGCAGCAGUGGGGAAUAUUGGACAAUGGGCGCAAGCCUGAUCCAGCCAUACCGCGUGGGUGAAGAAGGCCUUCGGGUUGUAAAGCCCUUUUGUUGGGAAAGAAAAGCAGCAGGUUAAUACCCCGCUGUUCUGACGGUACCCAAAGAAUAAGCGCCGGCUAACUUCGUGC
rnacentral:rRNA from 1 species